rnacentral:piRNA from 2 species
GAAAGCUGAUUCACCUGACAUGCUAAGGAGAC